ACACACACACACACACACGUUUGGUCUGAACUGACUCACAAAGUCUCAAUGACAUUAUGUAUAUGAAGGAAUAUCCCCAUUUUGCAGAUGAGGAAACUGAGUCCCACCAUGGAUAAGGCAUGUAACAGGAAGUCAGAGGAUGAAUACAGCGGGUCAGAACCUAAGUAUCCUCGCCGUGCCACUUCCCCCUGCCUUAUGGGCCUGCUGAGAGGAAGACCACGGUCUCCCCUCUGCGUGCUGACUUCAUCCCAGGGUCCCAGACAUCAUGGCUGUCAAUGUGCUGGGGCCGGGGGAACCUCUGCAAGAACUCAUCUGUAAAUGCACGGACAGUAGCUGAGGAAGUAUGGGCCUUUGAUGUGGCUCAAGGGCUGCCACGUGAGGAAUCGGAGCCAAGGGAGUCCUCAUUCAAGUUAUCAGGCUGGAGCUCUUUGAACACCAGAAGGAAGAGGGCAUUCAAGAGGAACGCCCCUCCAGCCCGUGGGAGAAGAUUGGGGACGAUAAGGCACCCCGACGCCCUCGACCACAUCAAAGCUAAGGCAGGGACACCCCUGCCCAGGCCUCGAGGCUGAAGUUGCUUCCCAAGGACACUGUGAAACAUGUGGAGACGGACGGACCAUCCCUGCAGCCCUUGAGGACUUCUUUUGAUGUGUGGACUCCAGCCAGCAGGACAAAGGCUGGCCGCUGGCGGACGGAUUGGCCCCUUGGCUGCCAGGUCUGCCUCUGAGACUCGCCCUCACACAGGUUCAUCACCCAGACAGGAGAGAGUGAACGUGAAAGCUCGUCUAGGCCACUGGCAGGCCCCGUCAGUAGAUAGUGCACAUCCCUCUACCGUGGUGACAACUCUGAUAUUCUCUCGCCGGAUGA